rnacentral:tRNA from 1 species
GGAGUUGUGGCUCAGUGAUAGAGCACUUGCCUGGCAUGUAUGAGGCACUGGGUUUGAUUCUCAGCACCA